rnacentral:rRNA from 1 species
GACGAACGCUGGCGGCGUGCCUAAUACAUGCAAGUAGAACGCACAGUUUAUACCGUAGCUUGCUACACCAUAGACUGUGAGUUGCGAACGGGUGAGUAACGCGUAGGUAACCUGCCUGGUAGCGGGGGAUAACUAUUGGAAACGAUAGCUAAUACCGCAUAAUAUUAAUUAUUGCAUGAUAAUUAAUUGAAAGGUGCAAUUGCACCACUACCAGAUGGACCUGCGUUGUAUUAGCUAGUAGGUGAGGUAACGGCUCACCUAGGCGACGAUACAUAGCCGACCUGAGAGGGUGAUCGGCCACACUGGGACUGAGACACGGCCCAGACUCCUACGGGAGGCAGCAGUAGGGAAUCUUCGGCAAUGGACGAAAGUCUGAACGAGCAACGCCGCGUGAGUGAAGAAGGUUUUCGGAUCGUAAAGCUCUGUUGUAAGAGGAGAACGGGUGUGAGAGUGGAAAGUUCACACUGUGACGGUAUCUUACCAGAAAGGGACGGCUAACUACGUG